rnacentral:rRNA from 1 species
UCGGGAAUUUUGGGCAAUGGGCGAAAGCCUGACCCAGCAACGCCGCGUGAGGGAUGAAGUAUUUCGGUAUGUAAACCUCGAAAGAAUGGGAAGAAUAAAUGACGGUACCAUUUAUAAGCUCCGGCUAACUACGUGCCAGCAGCCGCGGUAAUACGUAGGGAGCAAGUGUUGUUCGGAUUUACUGGGCGUAAAGGGCGCGCAGGCGGCGCGGUAAGUCACUUGUGAAAUCUCUGAGCUUAACUCAGAACGGCCAAGUGAUACUGCUGUGCUAGAGUGCGGAAGAGGCAACCGGAAUUCUUGGUGUAGCGGUGAAAUGCGUAGAUAUCAAGAGGAACACCUGAGGCGAAGGCGGGUUGCUGGGCCGACACUGACGCUGAUGCGCGAAAGCCAGGGGAGCAAACG